rnacentral:rRNA from 1 species
UACGUAGGUGGCGAGCGUUGUCCGGAUUUACUGGGCGUAAAGGGAGCGUAGGCGGACUUUUAAGUGAGAUGUGAAAUACUCGGGCUCAACUUGAGUGCUGCAUUUCAAACUGGAAGUCUAGAGUGCAGGAGAGGAGAAUGGAAUUCCUAGUGUAGCGGUGAAAUGUGUAGAGAUUAGGAAGAACACCAGUGGCGAAGGCGAUUCUCUGGACUGUGACUGACGCUGAGGCUCGAAAGCGUGGGGAGCAAACAGG